UAACGAGUUAGGGUCUCUCUGGCCCGACCUCCCAACCCUUUGUCUACUUGACCAUCGUUGCUUCGGCGAGCCCGUCCUCACGGACCGCCGGAGGGAUCUUUACUGGCCCUCUGGUCCGCGCUCGUCGGUAGCCCAACCUUUAAAAUCUUUAACUAAACGUGCCUUAAUCUAAGUACAAUUAUUAAAUAAAAGCAAAACUUUCAACAACGGAUCUCUUGGUUCUGGCAUCGAUGAAGAACGCAGCGAAAUGCGAUAAGUAAUGCGAAUUGCAGAAUUCCAGUGAGUCAUCGAAUCUUUGAACGCACAUUGCGCCCUUUGGUAUUCCGAAGGGCAUGCCUGUUCGAGCGUCAUUAUCACCCCUCAAGCCCUCGGCUUGGUGUUGGACGGUUUGGUGGAGGCCCCCUCGGGGGUUCCUGCCCCUCCCAAAGACAAUGACGGCGGCCUCGUUGGACCCCCGGUACACUGAGUUCUUCACGGGACACGUAUCGGACACAUGGGUUUACGGGACACGGUCUGCCUCCCCUCAGGGAGAAUCUUUCUAAGGUUGACCUCGGAUCAGGUAGGGAUACCCGCUGAACUUAAGCAUAUCAAUAAGCGGAGGAAAAGAAACCAACAGGGAUUGCCUCAGUAACGGCGAGUGAAGCGGCAACAGCUCAAAUUUGAAAUCUGGCCUCUUUGGGGUCCGA
rnacentral:rRNA from 1 species